CAAAAACCUCAUCCCAAUACUGUGAUGGCUUGGAAACAGCUCCUGUCGUUGUGCCAGAUGUUUCACAGAACACACGUGCAAGAAGGGCUUUCCUUCCGCAUCCAGCAGAACAGCUAAGUUAAUCAAAUCCUUGUUGUAAUGGAUCCCACGUAAGGAAUAGCUAUUAUGAAGUACAUCAGGGUCAGCCUGAAACUGAAGAUGGUUUUCUGUGAACUGCAGACCUCCAAAACUAAGCACCAUGCCUUGCAUAAGCCCGUGGACUCCGGCUGCCACAAGAGCCUUACACCCCCGUUUCUGGAGGGUCAGCUUCCAAAGGUCUGAGAGCUGCAAGAUCUGGGGCACGCUGGUCAGCUUUGCUGGCCACAGGUUCUCUGCAUGCAUGGUCGCGUGGCCACUGAAGCAAUGGUCAGCAUAGUUCAAGCUGGCUUCCAUUUUUUCUCUGUCCUCACCGCUAAUGAGUGGAUCUAGCAGAGGAGCUGGCAUGCUUGAAAGCAUAUAGUAGAGGGUCAUGUUAACAGUCUCACUGGAUGGUGUAUGUGAAUCUGUGAUCUUCCUCAUUUCAAUCCCUGC
rnacentral:lncRNA from 1 species